rnacentral:other from 1 species
AGUCGCCUGCAAUGUUCGUGAUGGAGCGCUACAUUUUGGGCCAACACUCAUCAAAAUUAGGGAUUCGGGUCUGGUUUUAAGGUGAUAGGCUUGAGCCAAGACCUAACUAGGCAGCAGGAUCCCGCCCUGCAUAGCAGGUCUCAAAAUUUUCCUUCACACGGCAUCGCAGGUUGGCA